UCCGGGGUAGCUCAAUGGUAGAGCGGCUCCCUGUUAAGGAGUUGGUUGUCGGUUCGAAUCCGACCCCCGGAG
rnacentral:tRNA from 1 species